rnacentral:rRNA from 1 species
UUUGGUGGCGAUAGCGAAGAGGUCACACCCGUUUCCAUUCCGAACACGGCAGUUAAGCUCUUCAGCGCCGAUGGUAGUUGGGGGUUUCCCCCUGUGAGAGUAGGACGCCGCCAAGC